UCCCUGAUGGUCCAGUGGUUAGACUCUGAGCUUCUAAUGCAGAGGGUGUGGGUUCAAUUCCUGGUUGAGGAA
rnacentral:tRNA from 1 species